UACGUAGGGUGCAAGCGUUGUCCGGAAUUAUUGGGCGUAAAGAGCGUGUAGGCGGCCCGAUUAGUCCGCUGUGAAAGUCCAGGGCUCAACCCUGGAAUGCCGGUGGAUACUGUCGGGCUAGAGUCCGGAAGGGGCGAGUGGAAUUCUCGGUGUAGAGGUGAAAUUCGUAGAUAUCGAGAGGAACACCGGUGGCGAAGGCGGCCAACUGGACGAAGACUGACGCUGAGACACGAAAGCGUGGGGAGCAAACAGG
rnacentral:rRNA from 1 species